rnacentral:rRNA from 1 species
AACGCGAAGAACCUUACCCAGGCUUGACAUCCUUGGAAUUUCUCCGAAAGGAGAGAGUGCUUUUAUUAGAACUAAGUGACAGGUGAUGCAUGGCCGUCGUCAGCUCGUGUCGUGAGAUGUUUGGUUAAGUCCAUCAACGAGCGCAACCCUUAUGUUUAGUUGAAUUUUUCUAAACAGACUGCCCUGGUAACAGGGAGGAAGGAGGGGAUGAUGUCAGGUCAGUAUCUCCCUUACGUCUGGGGCUACAAACACGCUACAAUGGCCGGUACAAAGGGCAGCCAAGUCGCGAGACGGAGCAAACCCCAUCAAAGCCGGUCCCAGUUCGGAUUGCAGGCUGAAACUCGCCUGCAUGAAGUCGGAAUCGCUAGUAAUGGUAGGUCAGCUAUACUACCGUGAAUACGUUCCCGGGCCUUGUA